CCCUCCCUCUUUCUUCGUGCUUAACACAUGCAAGUCGAACGGAAAGGCCCUGCUUUUGUGGGGUGCUCGAGUGGCGAACGGGUGAGUAACACGUGAGUAACCUGCCCUUGACUUUGGGAUAACUUCAGGAAACUGGGGCUAAUACCGGAUAGGAGCUCCUGCUGCAUGGUGGGGGUUGGAAAGUUUCGGCGGUUGGGGAUGGACUCGCGGCUUAUCAGCUUGUUGGUGGGGUAGUGGCUUACCAAGGCUUUGACGGGUAGCCGGCCUGAGAGGGUGACCGGCCACAUUGGGACUGAGAUACGGCCCAGACUCCUACGGGAGGCAGCAGUGGGGAAUAUUGCACAAUGGGCGGAAGCCUGAUGCAGCAACGCCGCGUGCGGGAUGACGGCCUUCGGGUUGUAAACCGCUUUCGCCUGUGACGAAGCGUGAGUGACGGUAAUGGGUAAAGAAGCACCGGCUAACUACGUG
rnacentral:rRNA from 1 species